CUUGAGACACCCGUGGGUUGCUGACCUCUGUCAGUGAUGGUGUCUGCAGAGAUUGCAGCUGCUAUUUAUCUGCCUGCACACGGAUCACUUUGCAGUUCUCCCAGACAGUCUUCAACCACGCAUAGUGGGAGCUGUCCUAUUUUCCUUCUUGUCGUCCUCAUCCUGUUACAUCCUGUUGUGUUGUCAACAUGAAGAGAACAUCAAGCAGAAGUGAUUUCUCUAGAUACUGGCUAUCUCCUCCACGGUUCCCUUCUCCUGGCCAAGCCACAGGUGUGACCUGCUGAGAUAGGAACUGGGAGAGAGGUGGAGUUAGGGAACAUGCAUGCUUCCUGCUGGGCAGCAGCACUGCGGUCAGCAAACAGGGCAGAGUGCUGACAGCUGGCGAGCUGUGGCCGCCACAAACACACUGCUGAGGAAGACAGCAAAACCUGUUGUCUGCAGCAUCGUGCUUAGUCAGCUUGCUGCGGCCGGCGCUGGAGGCUGUGAGAGUAGAAGUUCAUGCUUUCUGACCUAUUUAUUGACUCUGACUUCGCAGGCAUCUACUUUAACAGAGGCUUCUGACCAAGGAAGCAAUGGAAAUCCAUUGUAUUGCAUGGCUGUUUUUAAAGCUGAGGACCUGAGUGCCUCCAUCUCUCUUUUGCAUAUAUCUGUGUAUGUCUUCUUUGCUUCUCUUGUGCCUUGAAAGGUUACAAAACUCCUGACUGGCUUUGCUUCCCUGAAUUCACAGUCUGCAGAGGUUCAGAAUAGCCUCAUAAUGGUGUGAAAGUCCCUUGGUCCUCCUGCCUUGUGCUAUACUUUCUUCUUUGGUGACCUGAGGUUUAGUUCCAUUCAAUGAAGAAAACUCUGCAAACUGCAAGUGGCACACCAAACAGGCUGGAAGGAACCUCAGGAGGUCAUCUGGUUCAUCCCUCUGCCCAAGGGAGGAUUACUCAUCCUCUGUGCUUUGCCAGCACUUCAAAACCUCCAGUAACUGGAAUGUCACAACUUCUCUUGGCAAUCUCUUUCAGUGCCAGCUAUCCUUAUCACUGGAAAAUUUUCCUAAUGCCUAAGCAUGGUGUUCCAUGGUGCAUUUUGUGAUUAUUUCUCCUUGUCCCAUAACAAGGAACAAGAAUUUUUGUCUUCCCUUCCUGUAGACUUCGUACAUACUUGAAGACUUUCUUUCUCCUUCCCCAGACUAAACAAUCCUAUAACUUGUCCUUGUGGACUUUAUUUUCAAGACCUUUGGCCAUCCCUGUUGUCCUUUGGACUCUAUCCAAUGGUCCAUAUCUUUGUAGAGCUAAAAUAGGAUGAAGCAUCCCAGCCAAUGCCUUCCCAGCACUAUGAGGAGGGCAAUGAGUUUUUGUGUGUGUAUGUCAGAGACAGGACUCCUGGGUACAAUUAGAUCUCAAGAGUGUGUUUGUGAACUUAUUGUAAUAACUUGGACAUUCCUAAUUUGUGCUUGGCUUGUGAUCCACUGUGAAGCUCACAUCAUUUUGUGCAGAUCUGGUAUGUAAACUACUGGUCAAAACUUGCCAUCGCCCGAUUGAUCACAGAAUCGCAGAAUCACAGAAUGACCCUGGCUGGAAGGGACCUCAAGGAUCAUGAAGGUCCAACUCUCCUGCCUGGGAGAGCCACCAAACUUCCAUGUGUACUAGAUCAGGUUGCCCAGGGCCCCAUUCAACCUGGCC